rnacentral:rRNA from 1 species
AGCGAAACCACAGCCAAGGGAACGGAUUAAUGAGAUUCCCACUGUCCCUAAUUACUAUCUAGCGAAACCACAGCCAAGGGAACGGGCUUGGCAAAAUUAGCGGGGAAAGAAGACCCUGUUGAGCUUGACUUUAUUCAGAAUUUGUGAAAUGGUGCUCGAGGUAUAGAAUAGGUGGGAGUGUAACGAAAUUGAAAUACCACUACUUUUGACGUUGUUUUACUUAUUAAAUAAAAAACUAAAAGAUUAAUAAUCUUGAUUCUAGAAUUAACGAAUAUUACAUGUUGACUCCAUGUGGGUUAACCUCUGAUUUGGGAAGUUUGUUUAAGACAUUUUCUGGUGGGGAGUUUGGCUGGGGCGGCACAUCUGUUAAAAGAUAACACAGGUGUCCAAAGUAUAACUCAAUGAGAACGGAAUCUCAUGUAGAAUAAAAGGGUAAAAGUUAUAUUGAUUUUGAUUUU